ensembl:piRNA 21ur-4300 ncRNA
UGGUACAACGGUAUUUCAAGU